rnacentral:rRNA from 1 species
UACAGAGACUGCAAGCGUUAUUCGGAUUCACUGGGCGUAAAGGGUGCGCAGGCGGUUGUGUGUGUCAGGUGUGAAAGCCCGGGGCUUAACCCCGGAAUUGCGCCUGAAACUACAUGACUAGAGCAUUGGAGAGGGUAGCGGAAUUCACGGUGUAGCAGUGAAAUGCGUAGAUAUCGUGAGGAACACCAGAGGCGAAGGCGGCUACCUGGACCGCAACUGACGCUGAGGCGCGAAAGCUAGGGGAGCAAACAGG